rnacentral:rRNA from 1 species
UAAGGAAUAUUGGUCAAUGGACGCAAGUCUGAACCAGCCAUGCCGCGUGAAGGAUGAGGGUCCUCUGGAUUGUAAACUUCUUUUAUCUGGGACGAAAACGGGAUUUUUAUCUCAAUUGACGGUACCAGAGGAAUAAGCACCGGCUAACUCCGUGCCAGCAGCCGCGGUAAUACGGAGGGUGCGAGCGUUAUCCGGAUUUAUUGGGUUUAAAGGGUGCGUAGGUGGGCUUAUAAGUCAGUGGUGAAAUCUCCGAGCUUAACUUGGAAACUGCCGUUGAUACUAUAGGUCUUGAAUUAUCUGGAGGUAAGCGGAAUAUGUCAUGUAGCGGUGAAAUGCUUAGAUAUGACAUAGAACACCAAUUGCGAAGGCAGCUUACUACAUAUAAAUUGACGCUGAGGCACGAAAGCGUGGGGAUCAAACA